UUGUAACCAUGCCUUUGUUUC
rnacentral:piRNA from 1 species